AUGGAAAGAUUUGAUGAGUACGACUGCACGUCCCCUCAUUCUCACCAGCACCCGGACCGCGUCUCUGAUUCUCUUGAGGAUCCGAUAUCUGAUGAGGAUGUCCAACCAACAAGGCUCUCGCUGGCCUGUGCUACUACAAAUAAGAGAGAGAAGGAUACCAGAAUGGCGGGCCACGAUGAAUCAACCAUCUGGGAUGAAGUUCGGGAAGAAGCUGAUGAGCUAGCCCAUGUGCAUAAAGAUCCUCAUGCUCGUAGUGUCUCGCUCCUAUCUGCUGGAACAAGCAAAAGGAGCAAAUGUGAAAACAAGCGCAAAUUCUCAAUACGUGGAUUCAAUUCUAUCGUGUCAGGCGUAAAGAGUGAAAACUCGUAUGCUGGGGAGCAAGAAGUUUCGUCAGGAAUGCGACCAGCUAAAACUGUAGAAACUUUGAUGGCUGAGCAGUUGGAAAAUAUCGAUGAAGACACUGAAGACUUGCCGUCAGAUUUUGCCCAUCCAACCAAGAUUGCAAACACUUCAGUUGCUGAACUUCUUGAAGAUCUACAGGAUAGAAGUGUCUCUUCUCUUAGAACACCAUUUUCGAUUCAUCAACAAACCAAAGCUAAGGAAGGGAAGCCAAAAGUUCCGACUUCAGGGAAGAAAAUACCAGCACUUCUAGGUCAGAGGGAUCUUGAUAGUGAAGAGCCCUCGGAGCAUGCUAUUGGUGAAACGUCUAGUGAGGAUGAAGCGGAAGAUACUGUUCGAAACAACUUGACUAUGGUGAACAAAGAUGUGAAGGGAAACCGAAAAACUAUGUCUGACCUAUUCCAAGAAGCUUUCAUUGCAACAGAUAUGGAGGGUACCGCACUCCCCAUGAGAUCAACCGGAGCUGGUUAUUACGGAAGGAUGCAACAGAUUAUGCAGAUGGAGAAAGAUAGGCAUGCUGAGUUCUCGAGGCAGUAUAACAAAGCGCAAGAUUAUUUAGGUGAUUCAAAGGGAGUUACUGUUCAAAUUUUGACAAGGUCCUUGGAAGGAAAACUAACAGUCUGCCUCUGCCUGUUGAAAGAAAAGAGUAACCUUCCCUUGACAGAUUGUGACAUGGAUGGCAGCAGUAGUAAGAGGACCAUUAUCUUCAGUCCCAAAAUAUGUGACAAUGUGGAUCUUGUAGAAGGAAACAUUAUUCACAUCCACCCACCAUGGAAAGAAGUGAAAGUAAAAGAAGAGGAGGUGAUGCUCUGCACCUACUUCUCGCAUCACCCGGCUUGA
rnacentral:rRNA from 1 species